rnacentral:rRNA from 1 species
AGUGAACGCUGGCGGUAGGCCUAACACAUGCAAGUCGAACGGCAGCACAGUAAGAGCUUGCUCUUACGGGUGGCGAGUGGCGGACGGGUGAGGAAUACAUCGGAAUCUACUUUUUCGUGGGGGAUAACGUAGGGAAACUUACGCUAAUACCGCAUACGACCUACGGGUGAAAGCAGGGGAUCUUCGGACCUUGCGCGAUUGAAUGAGCCGAUGUCGGAUUAGCUAGUUGGCGGGGUAAAGGCCCACCAAGGCGACGAUCCGUAGCUGGUCUGAGAGGAUGAUCAGCCACACUGGAACUGAGACACGGUCCAGACUCCUACGGGAGGCAGCAGUGGGGAAUAUUGGACAAUGGGCGCAAGCCUGAUCCAGCCAUGCCGCGUGUGUGAAGAAGGCCUUCGGGUUGUAAAGCCCUUCUGUUGGGAAAGAAAAGCAGCAGGUUAAUACCCCGCUGUUCUGACGGUACCCAAAGAAUAAGCACCGGCUAACUUCGUG